ACGAGCGGAAUUCUGGAAAAGAGUCACGUCCGACAACCGACCGACGCGGCCAAUGGAAUAUUCUGGAAUGGCGCGGAAAAACGCCCUGUUCGUCCACGAGAUACGCGAUUUGAAGCCAUCAAACUGAUACUGCGCGCUUGGCAAUAAAAAGCGGACCUUGAGCAGCGGUGGCAAUUUGUUGUUUGGUUGAUUGAGAGAAAGACUAGAGAAGAAAGACGAGUUGCAACACGACUGCAGCACGACAUCAAAAUAAUUUAACCCGUUGACCAGGGAAAGCUGGAGUUAGUCUAUCGGUUGGUAAGUUUCCUGUUUCGAUCGAAUUUAAGCAUUUCCCCCGAUACUUCCUAGAAAGCUUAUUAAAAAGACGCAUUUUGAUGCACGCAGUUAAGGGCAUUCACAU